CUAACUUAAUUUCUAUCAAAGAGAGAGUCUUCAUCAGGUUAAAAGACCUAAGCAUAUCAAUAAAUACAGUCAAUUGAACCAAAAGAGAGAGUUCAAAUUUAAAACUUGAUUGAAGUGGUACGAUCACCUUGUUUCUUGAUAGGUCUUUUUUGUUGUAAUGAUUGUGUUUCAAUUUUUAAGCAUAAAUGCUAAAUUGAGCUACUGUGUUUGAUAAUUGUAAAAAUCAUGAUUGCUCGGAAUAUUUUACAAUUAAUUGCAAAAUCUUCAAAAUUUUGUUCCUGCAUGUUGGCUUUCCUGUAUUAAAAGAUAAUUUUUUUAAAAAAAUAUUCAAUUGUCCUCCUAUUUUAGCAAUGAAGAAUCAGAUUUUUGAUAA